CCGCACACACCUCUGUCCUCGAGGGCCAGGCAUACGCAGGAGCAGACAGUUGUUUCCAGCGCCCCAAGCCUUCCUCGGUCCUAAACCGACCCGGGGCCCGGUUCCAGGAGACUGUGAACCGCGUGCAAGGCGACAGGUCUUAGUUCCUCGGCGUCUGAUUCUCCCGGGACGUGGAGGAUCGAAGCUUCUUAUCUGGGGGGCGGGUGGGAGCCUGUGGCGGAGCUCGGAUCACCCUGCAGCGAGCGUGCACCCUGGGCCCGCGGCCGCGGGCGAGAUCUGGCCGAGGCUCGUCGGGGAGGGGAGGGCUGGUGGGGAAAGGGGACACAUUUUUAGACCCCGCCGCCCCGGGCCCUGCUGUCUGCCACGCGUCUAAACGGUCCCGCUGAACAGGUAGGACCUGGUGCCGCCACAGGCAACCAGCUGGGCCCGAGGCGCGAGCCCCCGGCCUUUGCUUCCAAUCGUCACCCUCGACUUCUCCCUGACCGAGUGGAGAUCUGCGGAAGGGGCUCCUAGCCAGGAGGCGCUGUGAUCGCGGGAAUUCCUCGGGCUGCGGACAGGGUCCCCAAGCUGGAUCAAGGUUCUAAAACUGGCAGAGCCCGCUCUUCACCACCGAUCUUGAGCUUUGGAGAAGCCCUGAAGAAACUUCACUUUGGCCAUCCGCUUUGAAAAAUGGGUGUCCCCCACCACCACCACCACCACCAAGCUGAAUUUUUUGUAAGAUGAGGUCUAGUGGGUUUGAGAUGUGGGCUGAGAGGAAGAUUUUUUUUUUUUUUGACUCCCUUUACGGUUACAGCCUUUGGUUUGGUUUAUUUUCCCCUUAAAGCUCCGGCUUUUUGUGCAACAUAAAAGUUAUUGCUAAGUUGUUACUACCCAAGGAAAAUACCCUAGUCAUGCUGGAUGUGGUGGAAGAGCCAAGAGGGCGUUGGCGAAUCACCGCGGGAAGGAACAAGGAAGCUCAUUAGCACUGAAAGUACCCCCACCUCCCCAGUCAGGCUGAGGAGCCUAUGCAUCCGUGUACUUUACAAAUGGGACUAAGGUCCUGCUGUUGAUGGGAACCUGGCACAAAAGAAUUAGUUUCUGACUGUCGCCCUGAGAAAUAUGUGCAGACCCACACGUUUGCAGAUACAUUUACACAAAUUGAUGGGACUGGCUUGCAGUCCCAGGGACAAGCUGCAGUUGGGGAGGGCGACUGGCUGCUGAGUUCCAGGUGAUUUAAUUUCACUCUCAAGCCUUUCCUUACAAUGUGACGUUACUCACUACCACCACCCUCCCUUUUUUUUUCUUAAAGGAAUUGGAAUCC